rnacentral:rRNA from 1 species
GACGAACGCUGGCGGCGUGCUUAAUACAUGCAAGUCGAACGAGUGGCGAACGGGUGAGUAAUACGUGGGUAACCUGCCCUCCUUUCGGGAUAAGCCUUGGAAACGGUGUCUAAUACCGACUAAAGGGGGAUGGGCUCGGGGCCUAUCAGCUUGGUGGUGGGGUGAUGGCUUACCAAGGCGGGGACGGGUAGCCGGCCUGAGAGGGUGAACGGCCACAUUGGGACUGAGAUACGGCCCAGACGCCUACGGGAGGCAGCAGUGGGGGAUAUUGCACAAUGGGCGAAAGCCUGAUGCAGCGACGCCGCGUGGGGGAUGAAGGCUUUCGGGUUGUAAACCUCUUUCGCUAUCGAAGGGUAGGUGGAAAAGAAGCGCCGGCUAACUACGUGCCAGCAGCCGCGGUAAUUC